AAAAGAAACUAACAAGGAUUCCCCUAGUAACCCCGAGUGAAGUGGGAAAAGCUCAACUUUGUAAUCUGGCUCUUUUAGAGUCCGAGUUGUAGUCUAGAGAAGCGAUGCCCGCGUUGGCCCUUAUAAAUGUUUGUUGGAAUACAACGUACAAAGAGGCGUGAGAAUCCCGUAUUUGCAUAAGGUGCUCAUAUGCAUUGUGGCACGCUUUCUAAGAGUCGAGUUGUUUGGGAAUGCAGCUCAAAUUGGGUGGUAAAUUCCAUCUAAAGCUAAAUAUUGGCGAGAGACCGAUAGCGAACAAGUACCGUGAGGGAAAGAUGAAAAGCACUUUGGAAAGAGAAUGAAACAGUACAUGAAAUUGCUGAAAGGGAAACGAUUGAAGUUAGACGUGCUUUUUGGGUAUUCAACCUUUCGGGGUGUAUUUGCCCAUCGUAGCAGGCCAGCAUCAGUUUACUUCGCUGUAUAAGGGUUUGAGGAAUGUGGCUUCUCCGGGAGUGUUAUAGCCUCUUACUGGAUGCAGAGUCGUGGACUGAGGACACGCAGUGCGCCUUUUAGGCAAACCAUAAUUGGUCGAGCACU
rnacentral:rRNA from 1 species